UAAUAUUAUUAAAGAAGAUGUUGUAAAAUUCUUAUAAUUGUCUUUUUUUUUUAACUACCACCUCUCUAAAAUAAGAGUAAUUUUAUUCAAAAAUUACUUUUUGCAACUAAUAAUGUCACAUUGUUCAAUUUCAACUACAUGAUUAUUGUUUGUUAAAAAAAAACUACAUGAUUAUUGUAUUAUGUCUUUCCUUGUUAGGAUUAGUUCAAUUGAUGAUGUCACAUGGUUCAUAUUCAAUUUCCUUCUUUUGUUUAAAUAUUACUUUAUUAUAUUCCUCUUCAUUUUGCACUAUUGUUUUUUUUUCUCUUCUAUCUUACGAAAAUAACUUUGCUUUUAACCCUAACCUGCAUGUCAUCUUCAUUCUCUCAAAUUUAUUCAUCAUCUUCUCUUUGAACCUGUCCUCUCUUAGCAUUAUAUAUUCUUUCUCUCAAUUGUCUUUAUCAUAUUCUUCGAUAGAAUUUUCUUAGCGGCGGUGGCAGAACUACGUGUUCAUGGCCGUUCGCGGCGGUCGGUGGUGAUUAUUUUGAAGGAUUGGUUUCAACCUUCUUUUUUUUUCUUCCAAUUUGCUUUGUUAAUAUGUUUGGUAUUUGAUGGAUUUAGAGACUUUCCAUCAAGUCUUUUUUGGGAGGAGCAAAAUUCACGGCGACAAUGGCCUUACCUUCCAAGUAGAAGAUGACAUGUUCAAAAAGCAAUUGGAGAUAUUGCUAAAACAUCUAAAUCGUCUUCAUCAGACAUGGAGAUUGAGAUACUAGAGCUUCUAUACGGUUGAUGACUUCCAAGAACCAUGAGUCUUCGUUGCAAAAGCUUGAAGCAACAAUCAAUCACAACACCUUUAUUAAUGCGGUGAACUAUAUUUAGUGAGAAAGGCUGUUUGUUACUUCAAGCAUGAUUGUUACGUCUGCACUGAUCAUAUGAAAGGCAUUGAUGUGCAUCACCGAUAGUGAAUCUUCUGUUUUUGUUCUUUCUGGAAGUAUGGAACCGGUAUUCAAGCGGGUAAGCCAAUCUUAUACAUGGAAGACUUAGGUUUUUUUAAUGAGAAAACUUUUAUCUAUUGUCUAAUUAUCCAACCUCUUGGAUUUUGGAUUUGAGGAUUAAUGCAAGGACAAACAAUGGAGAAUAUGAACAACAUUUUUGGGUUCCAUUAUUAUAUAAUUAUAUGCUGACAAGUUCAAGAAUAAAGGAUUGGGUAAAAAAACGUGACCGCAAGUAUCUUUUGAAGUUACUAUUAUGCCAUGAUCCAACUACAUUGCACUCAUCGUGUUGCUCAAUUGCAGAGUAAAAAUGUUAGUUUUAGGUUGUGUUUAUUAACAUGAAUCCUCUACUUUCUUUACGGUUUUUCAGGUGUUCAAAUCAUCAUCUAGAAGAUGUGCCAAAAGCAUUAGAAAAACUUUACAAUAUUUGCAACUUAAUUACCUUGACCUCUAUCUAGUAAGCAUUGUCGUUUCCAUAUAUGUUGAUAAUGAAGCUCAGAUUGGUACUAAAACUAAUAUAUAGACAUGACUAAUGAUUUGAAAAAAUAAAAAUGAUUGAAUGUAAUUGAUAUGUCAGUGUUAGAUACUGAAAUGUGUCACAUACCAAUAAUAGAUAAUUCUGAAACGUGACAAUAAUUGAUUUGUGUUUGAAGUGAAUUUCUUAUAGUUAAACAUGUAGAAUUGAAUAUGACAUUUCCAAACUUGGUUAGUUUGGAAAUACUCAAACUGGAGGAUUCUUACGUGAUAUUUUAUAAUGUGCAUUUUCAAUCUCAAUAAUUUUAGUUUUUUCAUGAUGA